rnacentral:rRNA from 1 species
GACGUAGGGGGCAAGCGUUGUCCGGAUUUACUGGGCGUAAAGCGCGCGUAGGCGGCUUGUUAAGUGUUAGAGUGAAAGCUCCGGGCUCAACCCGGAAAUUCGACUCUGCAUACUGGCAGGGCUGGAGGGACGCAGAGGUCUGUGGAAUUCCUGGUGUAACGGUGAAAUGUCGUUGAUAUCAGGAGGAACACCCAUGGCGAAGGCAGCAGACUGGGCGUUUCCCUGACGCUGAGGCGCGAAAGCGUGGGUAGCAAACCAGG